rnacentral:rRNA from 1 species
CGGCGGACGGGUGAGUAACGCGUGGGUAACCUGCCUCAUACAGGGGGAUAACAGUUAGAAAUGGCUGCUAAUACCGCAUAAGACCACAGUACUGCAUGGUACAGUGGUAAAAACUCCGGUGGUAUGAGAUGGACCCGCGUCUGAUUAGGUAGUUGGUGAGGUAACGGCCCACCAAGCCGACGAUCAGUAGCCGACCUGAGAGGGUGACCGGCCACAUUGGGACCGAGACACGGCCCAG